UAAUUAAGCGGAGGAAAAGAAACUAACCAGGAUUCCGUCAGUAAGGGCGACUGAAGCCGGACUAGCUCACCAUGUGAAUCUGCGCCUCGUGCGCCGAAUUGUGGUCUGGAGACUCUUACAUUAGUGGCCGGGCCAAGUCCCUUGGAACAGGGCAGCUGAGAGGGUGAGACUCCCGUCCGCCUGGCCUUUGGAGUGAGUGUCGACGAGUCGAGUUGUUUGGGAUUGCAGCUCUAAGUGGGUGGUAAAUUCCAUCUAAAGCUAAAUAUUGGUGGGAGACCGAUAGCGAACAAGUACCGUGAGGGAAAGAUGCAAAGAACUUUGAAAAGAGAGUUAAAGAGUACCUGAAAUCGCUGAAACGGAAGCGAAGGAAACCAGUGCCAGCUGCGUCAUAUUUCCCAUUCCGCUUGCGGGGUGGGCGCUGUGGCCAGCGUUGUCAGGCUUGGUUUGGGUGGUCAGAAUCGCGCCGAGAGAGUUGAUCUCGGCAUGUCUGUGACUGUCUGGGACUGAGGCUGGGCGAAAUGGUUUUCUUUACCCCG
rnacentral:rRNA from 1 species